AGCAGCCGCGGUAAUUCCAGCUCCAAUAGCGUAUAUUAAAGUUGUUGCAGUUAAAAAGCUCGUAGUUGAACUUCAGGCCUGUCCAGACGGUCCGCCUUAAUUGGUGUGUACUGUCCUUGGGUGGGUCCUACCUUCUGGCGAAGCGGCAUGGCCUUAAUUGGUUGUGUCGGGGAACCAGGACUUUUACUGUGAAAAAAUUAGAGUGUUCAAAGCAGGCAAAUAUGCUCGAAUACAUUAGCAUGGAAUAAUGGAAUAGGACGAUGGUUCUAUUUUGUUGGUUCUAGGACCGUUGUAAUGAUUAAUAGGGAUAGUUGGGGGUAUUAGUAUUCAAUUGUCAGAGGUGAAAUUCUUGGAUUUAUUGAAGACUAACUACUGCGAAAGCAUUUGCCAAGGAUGUUUUCAUUAAUCAAGAACGAAAGUUAGGGGAUCGAAGACGAUCAGAUACCGUCGUAGUCUUAACCAUAAACUAUGCCGACUAGGAAUCGGGCGAUGUUGACAAAAUGACUCGCUCGGCA
rnacentral:misc_RNA from 1 species